GAUGAACGCUGGCGGCGUGCCUAAUACAUGCAAGUCGAGCGAACAGAUAAGGAGCUUGCUCCUUUGUCGUUAGCGGCGGACGGGUGAGUAACACGUGGAUAACCUACCUAUAAGACUGUGAUAACUUCGGGAAACCGGAGCUAAUACCGGAUAACAUAUUGAACCGCAUGGUUCAAUAGUGAAAGGCGGCUUUGCUGUCACUUAUAGAUGGAUCCGCGCCGUAUUAGCUAGUUGGUAAGGUAACGGCUUACCAAGGCAACGAUACGUAGCCGACCUGAGAGGGUGAUCGGCCACACUGGAACUGAGACACGGUCCAGACUCCUACGGGAGGCAGCAGUAGGGAAUCUUCCGCAAUGGGCGAAAGCCUGACGGAGCAACGCCGCGUGAGUGAUGAAGGUCUUCGGAUCGUAAAACUCUGUUAUCAGGGAAGAACAAAUGUGUAAGUAACUGUGCACAUCUUGACGGUACCUGAUCAGAAAGCCACGGCUAACUACGUGCCAGCAGCCGCAGUAA
rnacentral:rRNA from 1 species